rnacentral:rRNA from 1 species
UGGGGAAUCUUGCACAAAGGGCGGAAGCCUGAUGCAGCGACGCCGCGUGGGGGAUGACGGCCUUCGGGUUGUAAACUCCUUUCGCCAGGGACGAAGCCGUGAGGUGACGGUACCUGGAUAAGAAGCACCGGCUAACUACGUGCCAGCAGCCGCGGUAAUACGUAGGGUGCGAGCGUUGUCCGGAAUUACUGGGCGUAAAGAGCUCGUAGGUGGUUUGUCGCGUCGUCUGUGAAAUUCCGGGGCUUAACUCCGGGCGUGCAGGCGAUACGGGCAUAACUUGAGUGCUGUAGGGGAGACUGGAAUUCCUGGUGUAGCGGUGAAAUGCGCAGAUAUCAGGAGGAACACCGAUGGCGAAGGCAGGUCUCUGGGCAGUAACUGACGCUGAGGAGCGAAAGCAUGGGUAGCGAACAGG